rnacentral:lncRNA from 1 species
UGUGAUUUAUAAACAACAUGACAUAGGGUUUAAAGCAACUGUCUAUAGAUUCUAUGUUGUGAUUUAUAACAACUGUCUAUAGAUUCUAUGUGUGAUUUAUAACAACUGUCUAUAGAUUCUAUGUUGUGAUUUAUACAACUGUCUAUAGUUCUAUGUUGUGAUUUACAACAACAUGACAUAGGGGUUUGAAACCAAGUGAGGUGUGACAGAGCAGAAUUUAAUAUAAUAUUUUAUCCUUUAGAGACGUUUCAACUGUUAGAUUAAACCUGUGUAUCUUCUACCUCAUCUCGGAACUAGGAGGAGGAUUCAGUUUGUUGUUUUUUUGUAUGUAAAUAAAACAACAACACAACUACAGUAGCAAUCCCCGUUGUUAUUGCACCACUGUGGAACACAAAUCCUCUGUGUUAAAGGCUUUUUCUCCCUCUGUGCACUUCCUGUCCUCUGUGCACUUCCUGUCCGCUGUUACAAUGAGCUGUGGUACUUUGAACUGAGUAGGAAAUGAACAUCAAAUCACAGGCUAGUUACACCACAGCUGCUGUUAGUUACACCACAGCUGUUAGUUACACCACAGCUGCUACUAGUUACACCACAGCUGCUGUUAGUUAUACCACAGCUGCUGUUAGUUAUACCACAGCUGCUGUUA